rnacentral:piRNA from 1 species
CUUUUGUGCACAGUUUGGUU